CUGGCUCAGAACGAACGCUGGCGGCAGGCUUAACACAUGCAAGUCGAGCGCCCCGCAAGGGGAGCGGCAGACGGGUGAGUAACGCGUGGGAACGUACCAUUUGCUACGGAAUAACUCAGGGAAACUUGUGCUAAUACCGUAUGUGCCCGUUAAGGGGAAAGAUUUAUCGGCAAAUGAUCGGCCCGCGUUGGAUUAGCUAGUUGGUGGGGUAAAGGCUCACCAAGGCGACGAUCCAUAGCUGGUCUGAGAGGAUGAUCAGCCACACUGGGACUGAGACACGGCCCAGACUCCUACGGGAGGCAGCAGUGGGGAAUAUUGGACAAUGGGCGCAAGCCUGAUCCAGCCAUGCCGCGUGAGUGAUGAAGGCCCUAGGGUUGUAAAGCUCUUUCACCGGUGAAGAUAAUGACGGUAACCGGAGAAGAAGCCCCGGCUAACUUCGUGCCAGCAGCCGCGGUAAUACGAAGGGGGCUAGCGUUGUUCGGAUUUACUGGGCGUAAAGCGCACGUAGGCGGGCUAAUAAGUCAGGGGUGAAAUCCCGGGGCUCAACCCCGGAACUGCCUUUGAUACUGUAAGUCUUGAGUAUGGUAGAGGUGAGUGGAAUUCCGAGUGUAGAGGUGAAAUUCGUAGAUAUUCGGAGGAACACCAGUGGCGAAGGCGGCUCACUGGACCAUUACUGACGCUGAGGUG
rnacentral:rRNA from 1 species